rfam:Asian citrus Psyllid, Diaphorina citri - Florida Strain, whole genome shotgun sequence.
GCCCAAGUUAGCUUAGAAAGCAUCGCGUCUACCUAGUAAGCGACAGAUCGCGGGUUCAAUUCCCGCCCGGGGCG